UGAAAAGGUAUAAAAAAUUAAAUUUAAUAGAAUGAUCAAUGGGUAAAUGUAUUUUUUAUUCAAAUAUAAAUUUGAUACAUUUAUAUUUCCUUAUCAUGUCUUGUCCUUAUCAUUUGCACCUCAAACAUAAGAUAUGAUAAGAGUCUAUCCUGCUCUUAUCCUAUCCUGUUGUUAUCAUGUUCACAUAUUAUAUCCUAUCAUAUCCUAUCCUGACCACCAAACGAGCUCUAAUAGUUUAAUACUAUGAUAAUACUUCAGAUUGGUCAAUUAAUAUCCAAUUAAUUAAGAACUCAAUUUAUUUCACAACUUUCAUAGUUUUAAUUCACUCAAUAUUAAGAUCAAAACCCAUAAAGGAGAAAACCGUGAAAGAGAUAAAAAGAAAAUCGAUUUUUGAGAAUGGAAAAAGGAAAAACAAGUCAAAGGGGUGUUGGUAUGGAAAAUUGAGGCAGAUUAUACAUCGAGUGCACAACAACCUGUGGAGGGUGGGAGGCGCGGCGUGACGAGCUAGGACGAGGAGGGAGGCGCGGUGGACUGGUUUGGUGGCUUGGUGGGUGCUUGGGUAGUUGGGUGGGAGCCUGUGAAGGACUUAGGGUACACCGUAUACGAGAGAAAGAAAGACAGAGUGAUUGAGUGAGAGAGUGAGAAGAGUAAGUGAGUGUGAGUCUUUGAUGCAAAUAAGUGCAAAGCUUGUUCUACUAAUAUAAUUUAAAAUUUUUAGGGGGUUCAAAAAAAAUUAAUACAAAAAAAAAUUAUAUAGGGGGUAAGUGCAAUUUAUUUUUUUUGUUCAUGGGGUCAGAUUGACCCCCCCUCCCCCCUCAAUGCAAUACAAGUCCGCUAGUUGUUAUUAUUCAUUUACACUUUAUUUUCUCUUCAAUUAUUUUUACCCACUUUCUCUUUCUAUCUCUCUUAUACCUUUUUAUCACGUCACACACCAUAUCUAUCAUUUCACUCUCUUUUCACCCUAUAUCAUUUGGAGGAAAUCAUAUGUUCCUCGUAUGUCUCAGCUUCACAUGAAUGGCUAUGCGUUUGUUAGGGCGUUCCAGAUUUUAACCAUGCAUGAUGUUGGUCUGGAACCUUCCUGCCCUUUGUUCUUCAAUUUGUUUCGCGUGCUUUCCCACUUAGAGGAGUUGGGCAAGCCUCUAAGUGGUCCCCGAUUUAUGCUUCUUCCAACCUUUGGCAGAUUUAUAUCAGCAGGAAAAUAUCUCAUACAAGAAAGAAUUCUUUCCGAAGCUUGAGGUUGUCAAUGACGCACCCUUCUUAAGCGAUUUGGCGGGCAAACAUGUUUUGUCCGCAAUUUACUGGUCAAAGAUGCAUUUAAAUUUUCCUGUCGAGAGUUAUCUGGUUAAGGAGUAUCAACUAUUCUUAACGGGUUUCCAAUCAAAGGAACCUUUGAUGAAGAUCGUGGAAGAGAGGGACGAUCCUUUAUAAGUGUUGGGUUCUUAUUGACUUUAACUUGGAAUAACUUCGUGGUGCGAAUUACGCAUGUAUUUUUCUUUCUCCUUUCACAUAUUUUUUACAUCCAUUUUAUGUGCUUGUUUAAGUGAGGAUGUCAGACUCAUUUAUCAAGAAGCUCUACCUGACCUGAGGUAGUUGGAAAAGCUUGAUGCCUCUUACUUUGUUGCUACCUCAAUAGAGAAUCAACCCUUAAUUAGUGCUGCAAACUGGUGUUCCAAUUGUGGCCGGAAAAGGUUGCUCGAAAUGAGAAGCCUUCUUCUUCUAAUGAUGAUCGUGAGGUCAUGCCUCUUGAUAAUGAAGUGACCAUUGCGAACAACAAUCCUGUAGUAAUAAUUACUCUAGUAGUAUUAAUUACAUAGUGUUCCAAAAUGACAAGUGUGUUGAUUUUGCAUUGAAUGGAUUUGAAACAAGUCCCACAUAGAAAGGGGAGCAACUUUUCAAAGCAUUUAUAUAUCAUUAAAUGUCAACCAUUCAAUAAAGAGACAAAGAGAGGAUAUAGUGUCACAUGUGCAUGGUUUGGUGGUCCCAAACUUUAUGUCACAUGAUCCACUCACACCACCCCUCGCCGGUGUCGCCACUGGGCGUGGCUGUAGAGGCGCUAGUGGCGGCUUGUAGGCGGCACUUGAGCACGACGGCAACGGCAACGCGGUUGCUGUAACAUCUGUUUGUUUUGCUCGUUUUUGAAUUUGAAUUUUGCGACUGUUGGUAACAGACAUAUCUGUUGGUAACAGACACAAUUUAUGAAGGGUCACAACCUUAUAUAUUGUUCUGUUUUGCUUAUAAAUAUAGUGCAUGUUCAGAAUUCAAGACACAAUCAUAUCCUCUGAUUUUCCAGAAAACCACUUCGCCUCAUUUCGAGUUUUCAUUAGUCUUGUGCAAACUCGAAUCUAAAGGCUGAUUAUCCUGGGUAUUCUUGCAUCCAAACUCUAAGACAAAUUCAAAGAGUGCUUGAAAUACUUUAAGAAAAGUGAUUUCCAUCACGAUCAAGCCUUUUCAUUUUCUAACAGAGGAGGAGAACGCUGAGGUCUAUUCUCCACAAUCGCUCUGGAAGUUAGAGUUUUCUUUCUUUGAGGAAUUUGAAAAAGUCUGUGUAUUCCUCUUCGGACGCGGACCAUUUGGGUUAUCCAUUCCCAUUUUUUAAAUCUCUUCACACAUGAUAAGAAAGUCAGCUCACCUUUCACCUAAAAUUUUACAUUUCAUUCUUACCCUCAAAGCACGAUCAUUCUCAAUAUAGAAGAAAUAAUUAUUUUAUAAAAGCAAUAGAUUGUUUUAUUAUGGGUUAAAUAUGUUUAUGGUCCCUGUGUAUUGAGGACAGUUUGAGUUUGCCCCCUAAUUUUUUCAAAGUAAAGUAACCAUCCCUCCGAUUACACUUUCCGUAACAAACCACCCUUAACUCCGCCAGUCCUUGCCAAAUACCAUCACCUGAGGGGACGUGGAAUUGCCACGUAUUAAAUGAGGUUGACCUGGAAUUUAUUUUUUAGUAAAAAUUAAAAAUGACGUUUUUUUCUUCUUCUCAAUUACAAACUUAACAAAUUUAAUCUAAACAUGAAAUAAUCUGCACCCUAAUUUAAACAUUAAAAGUAAAGUAGACCCUCCAUAAAAACCCAUCAACUGAAGAACAUGGUCUGAAAAAGCCCCAAAUUGAAAUCUAGGGUUCUUCCUCUCUUCAAUCCAUCUUGAACCCAUCUUCGAAUCUUCUUCCUCUCUUCAAUCCAUCUUCGAAUCUUCUUCCUCUCUUCAAUCCAUCUUCGAAUCGGUCUCUCAUUCCAGCCAUCAACUUCGUAGCGUUCUGUCAAGCUGAAGAUGAGAAGCAGUUCAUCCUCUUCCUCGCGCCGUUCUGGCCCUGUGUCGCAAGCUCGAUUCUGUGCUUGUGGAGUUCCGGUUGUCAUGUACACGUCGCAUAAACCAGACAACCCCAAUAGAAGGUUCUGGAGAUGCAGGAAUUGGAAGACUGAAAUGGGUUGCAAUUAUUUCAAAUGGCUUGAUGAAGAUGGCACAGAUGGUGAAAUAUUACGUCUUGAGGUUGAGUUGUUUAAGAAGGAACACGAGCUUGAAGCAAAAGGUUACCAAGCUGCAGAAAAGGGUUGAAGUUGAAAGAUUCUACAAGAAAUUGUGUAUUGUUGUUGCUGUGUUGUUAUGUGUACUGACUAUAUGGGUGAUGGGAUAUCCAGCAAAAGCUAAUCGGGACAUGCCCAGUGAUAUGUAAUAGGAUAUGUAAUUUGUUGGUACCAUCCUUAAUGCUAGUAGCCUAAUAUGUACCAUCUUUUUGUAUCUUCUUGACAAUUAAUGAAGUUUUUUCCCUUGCAA